GACGAACGCUGGCGGCGUGCUUAACACAUGCAAGUCGAACGGAAAGGCCCUGCUUUUGUGGGGUGCUCGAGUGGCGAACGGGUGAGUAACACGUGAGUAACCUGCCCUUGACUUUGGGAUAACUUCAGGAAACUGGGGCUAAUACCGGAUAGGAGCUCCUGCUGCAUGGUGGGGGUUGGAAAGUUUCGGCGGUUGGGGAUGGACUCGCGGCUUAUCAGCUUGUUGGUGGGGUAGUGGCUUACCAAGGCUUUGACGGGUAGCCGGCCUGAGAGGGUGACCGGCCAAAAUGGGAAUGAGGUACGGCCCAGAAUUCCAAGGGAGGCAGGAGGGGGGAAUAAUGCAAAAUGGGCGGAAGCCUUAAGGAGGAAACCCGGCGGGGGGAAGAACGCCUUCGGGGUGUAAACCGCUUUCGCCUGUGACGAAGCGUGAGUGACGGUAAUGGGUAAAGAAGCACCGGCUAACUACGUG
rnacentral:rRNA from 1 species